rnacentral:lncRNA from 10 species
CUCACUCUGUCAUCUAGGCUGGAGUACAGUGGUAAAAUCAUGCCUCACUGCAGCUGUGACCUGUCGGGCUCAGGCGAUUUUCCCACCUCAGCGAUUCUCCCACCUCAGCCUGUAGUUGAGACUACAGGCAUGCACCACACUCAGCUAAUUUUUUGCUUUUUGUUUUUUGUAGAGGUUUUGUCAUGUUGCCCAGGCUGGUCUCGAACUCCUGGGCUCAAGCGAUUCUCCCACCUCUGCCUACCAAAAUGCUGGGAUUACAGGCUUGAGCCACUGUACCCAGCCUCAUUUUCCUUAUUUUUUAAAUGGAAAUGAAAACACCUCCUUCUCCAGUUAUUCUGAAAAUCACAUCUUGUGGAAAACCGCAGGACUAUGGCAUCAGGCUGCUCUUCUGCAGGUAUUUAUGGAAACCCUGGUAGAGGAAGGAUGCCUUCAUGGAGGUUCAACCUGGCUGGGGAGAGAGAAAUCUGAGCAUAAUCAGAAGAGUGUAAAAUUAAGUGUUAGUAGGAGAGCAAACUGUAAGUAACAGGUGCCAGGGAAGUGGACAAUCAGAAAGAUGUAAGGAUGUACUUUGUUCAAGUCAUAGCUCUGGUCCACCCACCUCCGUGAAACUGACUUCAGGCCUGCGGCUGGCCCCCUUUCUGAUGGCAGGAGGCAGGAAUGACGUCCUGUCUCCUUUUGCCAAGAAUCUGAGCCAGUGACUGUAGGGUAGUACUGUGAGCACACGGAAGCGUGAAGAGUGGCUCCAUGGAUCUGCCUGACACCGAGGUGUCCCAGACUCCUCCACCCUUCAAGGCUCACAUGCUCAAUAAUGCCCUGAAAACAGCGGUCCAAGCCUGGUACUCCUGGGACUCCCCCAGGAAUGCUGUCCUCACCGUGAGGGUCACCUCAUCAGCCGUCUGGCUCUCUGCCCAAGCUUGAACCCUGCACUACUUGUUAGUUCUAAUUAUAGAUUGUAAUGAUUAAUUAAGUUUUGAUGACAUAAAUACGUUUUGAUGGGGAUAACAGGAGGUUUGGCUACUCUUGGAGCCCAGGGGUCAAGCCUUCUUCAAGGUCCCCACUAGACACCAUUCUCUGUGGUCACAGUGAAGAGGCCAACUCGGUUCCCAAAGAACCAUGUCUCUCCAACUUUGAGUCCAGGCAGAUAUUUUCUGAGGCUCCCAUAGAAGAAGAAAAAAAAGUUGUUUCUAGGAGAAAAAUCAUCUGAGAUGUGCAAUUCUGCCCUCAAUGAAGACAUAUUAAUUUCACAAAAUUUGUAUAUCCUUGUUGUCUUAAACCACUCUAUUCCAGAAGAUGGUCUGGGGUAUAUGCGUUUCAUAACCCAAAGGUUUAUUAAAGUGU